GCCCUACGGGGGAAAGCGGGGGACCUUCGGGCCUCGCGCUAUCAGAUGAGCCUGCGUAGGAUUAGCUUGUUGGUGAGGUAAAGGCCCACCAAGGCGACGAUCCUUAGCUGGUCUGAGAGGAUGAUCAGCCACACUGGAACUGAGACACGGUCCAGACUCCUACGGGAGGCAGCAGUGGGGAAUAUUGCGCAAUGGGCGAAAGCCUGACGCAGCCAUGCCGCGUGUGUGAAGAAGGCCCUUGGGUUGUAAAGCACUUUCAAUUGGGAAGAAAGGUUGCGUGUUAAUAGCACGUAGCUGUGACGUUACCUUUAGAAGAAGCACCGGCUAACUCCGUG
rnacentral:rRNA from 1 species